UGGGGAAUAUUGCACAAUGGGCGCAAGCCUGAUGCAGCCAUGCCGCGUGUAUGAAGAAGGCCUUCGGGUUGUAAAGUACUUUCAGCGGGGAGGAAGGCGAUAAGGUUAAUAACCUUGUCGAUUGACGUUACCCGCAGAAGAAGCACCGGCUAACUCCGUGCCAGCAGCCGCGGUAAUACGGAGGGUGCAAGCGUUAAUCGGAAUUACUGGGCGUAAAGCGCACGCAGGCGGGCUGGCAAGUCGGAUGUGAAAUCCCCGGGCUCAACCUGGGAACUGCAUUCGAAACUGGCAGGCUAGAGUCUUGUAGAGGGGGGUAGAAUUCCAGGUGUAGCGGUGAAAUGCGUAGAGAUCUGGAGGAAUACCGGUGGCGAAGGCGGCCCCCUGGACAAAGACUGACGCUCAGGUGCGAAAGCGUGGGGAGCAAACA
rnacentral:rRNA from 1 species